UACAGAGGGGGCAAGCGUUUGUUCGGAAUUACUGGGCGUAAAGGGCGCGUAGGCGGCCUGUUAAGUCGGACGUGAAAUCCCUCGGCUCAACCGGGGAACUGCGUCCGAUACUGGCGGGCUUGAAUUCGGGAGAGGGAUGUGGAAUUCCAGGUGUAGCGGUGAAAUGCGCAGAUAUCAGGAGGAACACCGGUGGCGAAGGCGGAUCUCUGGGCCUUACCUGACGCUGGAGGAGCGAAAGCGUGGGGAGCAAACAGG
rnacentral:rRNA from 1 species